UACGCAGGGUGCAAGCGUUACUCGGAAUUACUGGGCGUAAAGCGUGCGUAGGUGGUUCGUUAAGUCUGAUGUGAAAGCCCUGGGCUCAACCUGGGAAUGGCAUUGGAAACUGGCGACCUAGAGUGCGGUAGAGGGUAGUGGAAUUCCCGGUGUAGCAGUGAAAUGCGUAGAGAUCGGGAGGAACAUCCGUAGCGAAGGCGACUACCUGGACCAGCACUGACACUGAGGCACGAAAGCGUGGGGAGCAAACAGG
rnacentral:rRNA from 1 species